rnacentral:rRNA from 1 species
GAUGAACGCUGGCGGCGUGCUUAACACAUGCAAGUCGAACGGUGAAGCAGGAGCUUGCUCUUGUGGAUCAGUGGCGAACGGGUGAGUAACACGUGAGCAAUCUGCCCCUGACUCUGGGAUAAGCGCUGGAAACGGCGUCUAAUACUGGAUAUGUGAUGUGACCGCAUGGUCUGCAUCUGGAAAGAAUUUCGGUUGGGGAUGGGCUCGCGGCCUAGCAGCUUGUUGGUGAGGUAAUGGCUCACCAAGGCGUCGACGGGUAGCCGGCCUGAGAGGGAGACCGGCCACACUGGGACUGAGACACGGCCCAGACGCCUACGGGAGGCAGCAGUGGGGAAUAUGGCACAAUGGGCGGAAGCCUGAUGCAGCAACGCCGCGUGAGGGAUGACGGCCUUCGGGUUGUAAACCUCUUUUAGCAGGGAAGAAGCGAAAGUGACGGUACCUGCAGAAAAAGCACCGGCUAACUACGUGCCAGCCGCCGCGGUAA